UACGUAGGGUGCGAGCGUUGCCCGGAUUUAUUGGGCGUAAAGGGCGCGUAGGCGGCCGAUCAAGUCGGGGGGUGAAAGCCUGUGGCUCAACCACAGAAUUGCCUUCGAUACUGUUUGGCUUGAGACCGGAAGAGGUAAGUGGAACUGCGAGUGUAGAGGUGAAAUUCGUAGAUAUUCGCAAGAACACCAGUGGCGAAGGCGGCUCACUGGCCCGAUACUGACGGCUGAGGCACGAAAGCGUGGGGAGCAAACAGG
rnacentral:rRNA from 1 species